UACCGCGCGGGAGCGGGGCUGUAGCGUUGGAGGGUGAGCCCGGCGCGCCGCUUGCGUCAUUUUCCUGAGCCGGCCGUGCGGUUAGGCAGCCUCUCGCCCUGGAAGCUUUGCUGGCCUCCGCCCUUUCGGCUUGUUUCCGGAGCAUGGGGCCAGUGUCUUACGGGGACGCAGGGGCGGCCCACCGCCCCCUUCCCCUGCCUCCGACACUUGUCGCCUCGGUAGGCCCCUCCUUGCCGCUCCUGUCGCGAAGCCACUCUUCUUCCGCACGUUCGUCGGGGCCCGGCUCGUGCUCUUCGCUCUCACGUGUUUUAUUGUCCAGCCGGACUAGGGGCACUUGGGCCGCGGUCCUUGGCUGGGCUUCUGGGGGCUGGGACCCCCUUCACACUACCUGCAGGGUGGGCUGUGGGUGCCCCUGUUGAUGGGGGGGGUGGCUUUCAUCAGAUCCCGACGGCGACCCGACGACUCUGACUGCAGCCCGAGCCGAUGGCCGUCGCGUGAGGCGGGGCAGGGCAGCAGGUGGGCAGGCGGGAAACAGCCGAGCAAAGAUCGGGAGCAGAAACCCGAACGCUUCCGGAGCCUUUCUGGGUCUCAGUUGGUCCCUCUGUGAAGUGUGGAGGUUGGACGCCACCCCUGACUCGAGAGAGAGCAAGUGAGCAUAAGCGGGGGAGCUGCAGACAGUGGGAGAGGGAGAAGCAGGCUUCCCGUGGAGUAGGAAACCUGAUGCAGGGCUUGAUCCAAUGACUCCGGAAUCAUGAUCUGAGCUGGAGGCAGACACUAAACCAACUGAGCCAUGCAGGUGCCCCUAAAUACAUACAAUCUUUAAAAAAAGUUAAUAAAGACUAGAGUUUAAUGUCCA